CUACGUGCCAGCAGCCGCGGUAAUACGUAGGGCGCGAGCGUUGUCCGGAAUUAUUGGGCGUAAAGAGCUUGUAGGCGGUUUGACGCGUCUGCUGUGAAAGGCCGGGGCUUAACCCCGUGUAUUGCAGUGGGUACGGGCAGACUAGAGUGCAGUAGGGGAGACUGGAAUUCCUGGUGUAGCGGUGGAAUGCGCAGAUAUCAGGAGGAACACCGAUGGCGAAGGCAGGUCUCUGGGCUGUAACUGACGCUGAGAAGCGAAAGCAUGGGGAGCGAACAGGAUUAGAUACCCUGGUAGUCCAUGCCGUAAACGUUGGGCACUAGGUGUGGGGGACAUUCCACGUUUUCCGCGCCGUAGCUAACGCAUUAAGUGCCCCGCCUGGGGAGUACGGCCGCAAGGCUAAAACUCAAAGAAAUUGACGGGGGCCCGCACAAGCGGCGGAGCAUGCGGAUUAAUUCGAUGCAACGCGAAGAACCUUACCAAGGCUUGACAU
rnacentral:rRNA from 1 species